rnacentral:rRNA from 1 species
GAGUGAACGCUGGCGGUAGGCCUACCACAUGCAAGUCGAACGGCAGCCCAGUAAGAGCUUGCUCUUACGGGUGGCGAGUGGCGGACGGGUGAGGAAUACAUCGGAAUCUACUUUUUCGUGGGGGAUAACGUAGGGAAACUUACGCUAAUACCGCAUACGACCUACGGGUGAAAGCAGGGGAUCUUCGGACCUUGCGCGAUUGAAUGAGCCGAUGUCGGAUUAGCUAGUUGGCGGGGUAAAGGCCCACCAAGGCGACGAUCCGUAGCUGGUCUGAGAGGAUGAUCAGCCACACUGGAACUGAGACACGGUCCAGACUCCUACGGGAGGCAGCAGUGGGGAAUAUUGGACAAUGGGCGCAAGCCUGAUCCAGCUAUACCGCGUGGGUGAAGAAGGCCUUCGGGUUGUAAAGCCCUUUUGUUGGGAAAGAAAAGCAGCAGGUUAAUACCCCGCUGUUCUGACGGUACCCAAAGAAUAAGCACCGGCUAACUUCGUG